GAUGAACGCUGGCGGCGUGCUUAACACAUGCAAGUCGAACGGAAAGGCCCAAGCUUGCUUGGGUACUCGAGUGGCGAACGGGUGAGUAACACGUGGGUGAUCUGCCCUGCACUUCGGGAUAAGCCUGGGAAACUGGGUCUAAUACCGGAUAGGACGAUGGUUUGGAUGCCAUUGUGGAAAGUUUUUUCGGUGUGGGAUGAGCUCGCGGCCUAUCAGCUUGUUGGUGGGGUAAUGGCCUACCAAGGCGUCGACGGGUAGCCGGCCUGAGAGGGUGUACGGCCACAUUGGGACUGUGAUGCGGGCCAGAGUCCUACGGAAGGCAGCAGUGGGGAAUGUUGCACGAUGGGCGCAAGCCUGAUGCAGCGACGCCGCGUGGGGGAUGACGGCCUUCGGGUUGUAGACACCUAUCGCUAGGGACGAAGCGUUUUUGUGACGGUACCUGGAGAAGAAGCACCGGCUAACUACGUG
rnacentral:rRNA from 1 species